rnacentral:rRNA from 1 species
AGCGAACGCUGGCGGCAGGCUUAACACAUGCAAGUCGAGCGCCCCGCAAGGGGAGCGGCAGACGGGAGAGUAACACGUGGGAACGUACCCUUUAGUUCGGAACAACCCAGGGAAACUUGGGCUAAUACUGGAUACGUCCGUAAGGAGAAAGAUUUAUCGCUAAAGGAGCGGCCCGCGUCUGAUUAGCUGGUUGAGCAGGUACCGGUUCACCAAGGCGACGAUCAGUAGCUGGUCUGAGAGGAUGAUCAGCCUCACUGGGUCUGGGACACGGCCCAGACUCCUAGGGGAGGCCGCAGUGGGGAAUAUUGGACAAUGGGCGCAAGCCUGAUCCAGCCAUGCCGCGUGGGUGAUGAAGGCCCUAGGGUUGUAAAGCCCUUUCGGCGGGGAAGAUAAUGACGGUACCCGCAGAGGAAGCCCCGGCUAACAUCGUGCCAGCAGCCGCCGUAA